GGGAGGUAGUGACAAUAAAUAACAAUACGGGGUUCUUAUGGAUCUCGUAAUUGGAAUGAGUACAAUUUAAAUCUCUUAACGAGGAACAAUUGGAGGGCAAGUCUGGUGCCAGCAGCCGCGGUAAUUCCAGCUCCAAUAGCGUAUAUUAAAGUUGUUGCAGUUAAAAAGCUCGUAGUUGAAUUUCGGGAUCAAUUUGCUGGUCGUGCCUCUGGUACGUACUGGUAUUAUUGGUUUCUCCCUUCUGACGAACCAUGAUGUCAUUAAUUUGAUGUCGUGGAGAAUCAGGACUGUUACUUUGAAAAAUUAGAGUGUUUAAAGCAGGCAUUAGCUUGAAUACAUUAGCAUGGAAUAAUGAAAUAGGACGUUUGAUCCUAUUUCGUUGGUUUCUAGGAUCGACGUAAUGAUUAAUAGGGAUAGUUGGG
rnacentral:rRNA from 1 species